AACUUUGUCCAAAAGUAAUCCAUCACAUAGACAGUGCAUUAUUAUGAUUCCUGUAAUUGCGUGAUUCGAGCCAGUAUUUGGUUUCGGAUCGGGCAGACAUAUUACGGGGAUGCAAUCAUGAAGAGAUGCGAUAGUUGAUGGAGAGAAAAAAUUGUGUCUUUUAAGAACCUGUCUGGAUUCAAAUUUGAAAGAGAGGUGUCAGUAGAUCCAUAUAUUU
rnacentral:snoRNA from 1 species